UGACCUCAGAUCAGGCAGAUCACCCGCUGAGUUUAAGCAUAUCACUAAGCGAGGAAAGAACUAACGAGGAUU
rnacentral:rRNA from 1 species